rnacentral:rRNA from 1 species
GACGAACGCUGGCGGCGUGCUUAACACAUGCAAGUCGAACGGAAAGGCCCUGCUUUUGUGGGGUGCUCGAGUGGCGAACGGGUGAGUAACACGUGAGUAACCUGCCCUUGACUUUGGGAUAACUUCAGGAAACUGGGGCUAAUACCGGAUAGGAGCUCCUGCUGCAUGGUGGGGGUUGGAAAGUUUCGGCGGUUGGGGAUGGACUCGCGGCUUAUCAGCUUGUUGGUGGGGUAGUGGCUUACCAAGGCUUUGACGGGUAGCCGGCCUGAGAGGGUGACCGGCCACAUUGGGACUGAAAUACGACCCAGACUCCUACGGGAGGCAGCAGUGGGGAAUAUUGCACAAUGGGCGGAAGCCUGAUGCAGCAACGCCGCGUGCGGGAUGACGGCCUUCGGGUUGUAAACCGCUUUCGCCUGUGACGAAGCGUGAGUGACGGUAAUGGGUAAAGAAGCACCGGCUAACUACGUG